rnacentral:lncRNA from 1 species
UUAAAUAUCAAGGUCCACUCAUUCAAAAGCAUCAAAUUAAAAUGAUCCAAAAUGUAGGUAUUGCCCAAGAACACAAGCAAAACAUCAGACAAUAACAUAAUGUUGCUACACAACUGGAAUCUAAAAUUAAGCAAAUCAAAUGAGGUUCAUGAUAUAAAUCUGAUCCAACAACACAAAAAAAGAAAAAAAAAACUUCAUAUUAGCUUCUAGGCACGGGCUGGAGGAGCGCCUGGUCCAGCAGGGCGUGGGGCUUGACCGGGCUGGCCGGGCCUGGGUGCAUCAUCCUUGAAAAAUAAUUAAAUAAACCGAUUAGACACCACCAAAUAAAAUAUAUAAUAGCAUAAUUAAGAAAUAUAGAAGAAACUCAACUACUGAUAAAGCACUUCCAACAAUUUCAUAGCUAAAGAAUCAAAAGUCUAGGUAUAAUUAUAGCAUAUCCUCAAAAAGUAAAACAUGCAUCAUAUAUCAUACAUAUACACUACUACCCACUCAAGCAACAAGAUAUAUCUUCAACCAAAAGAGAGGAUAAUCAAAAUAUGAAAUCUAAAUUGGGAUAUUUUGAAGAAAGCCAUCCUAAAUGAUAACAGGCAUUCACAAUCACAUUAUCAAAUGACAAUAACCUUCAAACAACAUGGAAAAAAAUAACAUUAAUGGUCUACAAAACAAAUGUGCUAUUGAGUUGGCAUUUGAGAAAGGAUAGGAAAACAUUGUUCCAAAUGUGCUAUUGAUGUAGAACAAGGCAUUGCACCACCAUCCUACACAAAUUGGCCAUAGUGGCACAGUAUAUCAUCACUACUUCAUUCUACACUACUUCAUUCUACUGGUUAUAUAAACCAAGGGCCUAUUUAGAUAGUUAUCUGCAGCUACAUGAUCACUACUUUUAUACUACUGGUUAUAUAAACCAAUAUCAUAUUUGGAAAAACGACCUAUUAGCAGCUUAUAGCACAAGCCCUUAUCGUGAUAAGUGCUUAUGCAUAAGCCAUUUUUAAAGAAAAAGAUAAAACAUCGUUUAAAUGUUUGUGUGAUACAAGCUGUUUUUACAAGUAUAUUGGAGAACUUAUGAAAAGAAGCUGAAAAAAGCUUGUGAAAAUUGCCAUAUACUGUUUUCAUAAGCAAAACUUAAGCCAGUUGAUAUGCUCAAAUAAGCCAAUCCAAACAGACCCAAAAUCCGAUCCAAUAAAGAAACAUACAAUUGUGAUAAAUUUAGGGGUCCAAUUUCAGUUCUUAUUGUCAUAAACCUCUCAACAUUAGAUUUCAAAGGCAACUGUGUGACUCUAUCAUUUAUAAUAAUAUAAAAAAGCAAGGUUUCAGCAUUUUAAGCUAACCACGCAUUUUUAACAACAUUUACUUAAACAAAAACUGCAAAAAUAAAAAGGGAAAGAAGGAGAAUUACCCUGCGCCUAAUGAAACGCUGUGGAGGCUCACGCUUCCUCCUGUCAGUGCGAGAUCUGACCCUCACAACAUGAGAGUGAAUAGCACAUGACACACAGUACUGCAUCUUCACGUACAACUUUGGAAGAGUGUAUUCUACAAUUUACAAUAACAAAAUCAAUAACACAAAUCUGAAACUUUGUUCAAUAAAUUAAGAAAUGAAAAGAGGGUAAAGAACAUUACGAUCGUAAACACACGCUUCCUGAACAUCUCUAACAGCAGCCUGUUCAACAAUGUUCCUCACGAGAAAACGCUUGAUAGCCUUAUCCUAUUAAACAACAGAAGAAAAAAAUAUCGAUUCAAUAAAAGAUGCACGCAAAUACACAAAUUUGAAGUAGUGAAGAGAAAAGAUGAAAUACCUUAGGACAGCAUUUUCCACAGUUGGAGCAUCGGAUGAAUUUGACAUGGCCACGACCAUGCUUGUUACGACCUCCAUUUCUACGCUUGAACGUCUGAAACAAUUAACAAACAAAUUUAAUGGUGAGAUUGAGAAUAUCAGAUACGAAGAUUAACAUGAGUGAUUGAGAUUCCGAUUGAUCGAAACCUACCAUUGUUGCCAAGCUCCGAUCACUUCAGCAGCC